GACGAACGCUGGCGGCGUGCCUAAUACAUGCAAGUAGAACGCUGAAGAGAGGAGCUUGCUCUUCUUGGUUGAGUUGCGAACGGGUGAGUAACGCGUAGGUAACCUGCCUGGUAGCGGGGGAUAACUAUUGGAAACGAUAGCUAAUACCGCAUAAAAUUGAUUAUUUCAUGAUACUUAAUUGAAAGAUGCAACUGCAUCACUACCAGAUGGACCUGCGUUGUAUUAGCUAGUUGGUGAGGUAACGGCGCACCAAGGCGACGAUACAUAGCCGACCUCAGAGGGUGAGCGGCAACGCUGGGACGGGGACACGGCCCAGACUCCUACGGGAGGCAGCAGUAGGGAAUCUUCGGGAAUGGGGGGAACCCUGAACGAGCGACGCCGCGUGAGUGAAGAAGGUUGUCGGAUCGUAAAGCUCUGUUGUAAGAGAAGAACGGGUGGGAGAGUGGAAAGGGCACACUGUGACGGUACCUGACCAGAAAGGGACGGCUAACUACGUG
rnacentral:rRNA from 1 species